UGUGGGAGCGGGCUUGCUCGCGAAAGCUCUGGGUCAGGCAAUACAAAUGUCGACUGACACGCCGCCUUCGCGAGCAAGCCCGCUCCCACA
rnacentral:antisense_RNA from 1 species